AUGCCGCGGGGAGCGGCGCCGCGGGCCGUGCUGCUGGCCGCGCUGCUGGCGGGGCUCCGAGGCGCGACGGGUCGCCUGCUGAGCGCCGCGGACUUGGACUUCAGAGGAGGCCAGCCAGUCUGCCGGUUAGGAACCCAGAAGCCUUGUUAUGAAGUCAUUUACUUCCGUGAUGCUUCUCAAAGACUGAACUUUGAGGAAGCCAGAGCAGCCUGCAGGAGGAAUGGAAGCCAGCUAGUCAGCAUUGAGUCUGAAGAUGAACAGAGACUGAUAGUGAAGUUCAUUAAAAACCUCCUGGCUUCUGAUGGCGAUUUCUGGAUUGGGCUCAGGAGGCGUGAGGACCAACAAAGCAAUGGCACAGCCUGCCAGGACCUUUAUGCCUGGAUCGAUGGAAGCACAGCAGCAUUUAGGAACUGGUAUGUGGAUGAGCCUUCCUGCGGCAGCGAGGUCUGCGUGGUCAUGUAUCAUCAGCCGUCAGCCCCCGCCGGCAUCGGGGGCCCUUACAUGUUCCAGUGGAAUGACGACCGAUGUACCAUGAAGAACAAUUUCAUCUGCAAAUAUUCUGAUGAUAAGCCAACAGUUCCUUCUACAAGGACUGGAGGUGAAGAGACAGAGCCAGCAACACCCAUCCUUCCAGAAGACACAGAGAAAGAAGAUACCACAGAAAUACUGAAAGAAAGCAAAGAAGCUGCCUUGAAUCUUGCCUACAUCCUAAUCCCCAGCAUUCUCCUCCUCCUCCUUGUGGUCACCACAGGUGUAUGUUGGGUUUGGAUCUGUAGAAGGAGGAAACGGGGGCAGCCGGACCCCAGCACUAAGGAGCAGCGCCCCACCUGGCCGGCUCUGCAGCCCGGGAACAGCCCGGACCUGGAGGUUUACAACGUCAUACGAAAGCAGAGCGAAGCUGAUCUGGCCGAGACCCGCCCGGACCUAAAGAACAUCUCGUUCCGAGCGCGCUCGGGAGAGGCCACGCCCGACGCCGUGUCUUGUGACUAUGAAAACGUGGCCGUGAACCCGUCUGAGAGCGGGUUCGUGACGCUGGCGAGCAUGGAGAGUGGCUUCGUCACCAACGACGUUUACGAGUUCUCCCCGGGCCGAGCGGGGAGGAGCAAGGAGUCCGGAUGGGUGGAAAAUGAAAUCUAUGGUUAUUAG
rnacentral:lncRNA from 1 species